AUGUAAACUGGGACAUCCUAGCCAGAAAGAUGAAGAUUUCCAUGUAAAAAAUACUUCCUUUUAACUCAGCCAUGGAAAACCUUUUGCUCAAUCGAACAGAGGAAUCAAAGGCUUCUGAAAGGUGAAAAAGGACCUCUCCUCAGACUUACCAGGAUAAAGAAGUUUGGUACAAUGAACCAGAUAAGACAAAAGUUUGAAAACUUUUAAGUGGCUUAUUAGGCAGUGUUGUGAUACAGGCAAAAGAACCACCAGUUGAUGCUGUUGAACCACAAUCGAGGAAGAAGAAUUUGGUAUAUACAUUACAAAACAAGGAGGCCUGUUUGUUGCAGCCAAAUAUGGAGAUUAUAAAACUAUAAUUUCCACCAGUAAUCCAGAGGAUGAAGCAGUAGCAAUCUGCACAGAAGGGCAAUUUCAAUGUA